rnacentral:rRNA from 1 species
AGUAGUUGACUCCGUGGCUCGAGGACGACGCUGGCGGCGUGCUUAACACAUGCAAGUCGAACGGUAAGGCCCUUCGGGGUACACGAGUGGCGAACGGGUGAGUAACACGUGGGUGAUCUGCCCUGCACUUCGGGAUAAGCCUGGGAAACUGGGUCUAAUACCGGAUAGGACCAUGGACUUCACGGUUUGUGGUGGAAAGCUUUUGCGGUGUGGGAUGGGCCCGCGGCCUAUCAGCUUGUUGGUGGGGUAAUGGCCUACCAAGGCGACGACGGUAGCCGGCCUGAGAGGGUGUCCGGCCACACUGGGACUGAGAUACGGCCCAGACUCCUACGGGAGGCAGCAGUGGGGAAUAUUGCACAAUGGGCGCAAGCCUGAUGCAGCGACGCCGCGUGAGGGAUGACGGCCUUCGGGUUGUAAACCUCUUUCAAUAGGGACGAAGCGCAAGUGACAGUACCUAUAGAAGAAGCACCGGCCAACUACGUG